rnacentral:rRNA from 1 species
CUCCGUGCCAGCAGCCGCGGUAAUACGGAGGGUGCAAGCGUUAAUCGGAAUUACUGGGCGUAAAGCGCACGCAGGCGGUCUGUUAAGUCAGAUGUGAAAUCCCCGGGCUCAACCUGGGAACUGCAUUUGAAACUGGCAGGCUUGAGUCUCGUAGAGGGGGGUAGAAUUCCAGGUGUAGCGGUGAAAUGCGUAGAGAUCUGGAGGAAUACCGGUGGCGAAGGCGGCCCCCUGGACGAA